ACCUAGUGGUUAAAUGGGAGGACGGAAUGGGAGAAAAUAUGAUUGUACUCCUAGCCACCCAGACGGCAUUCUUCUCUGACACAUUUGUGAUAUGGAUCUCAGCCCAGAGGAAAGUCCAGGAUGAGAAGCCAGGCACGGUGCCUCACCACAGGAAGCCCCAAUCCAGAAGUAGGAGCCUAAAAUAACAAGCAAGUGUGUGAAAACUGGCACAUCAUAGGCACUCGGUACACAGCCCUGGAAGACGAGUGUCACUGAUGAGGAGGUUUAGGGCCACCAAUACGGUUUGGAACUUGUACAUAUAGAGUGGAUUUAAUUACCUGGAAAGUCAUUGAAGUUAGAAUGAAAUAAGAUUGGGAAGGCUUCCCUUAUAUCUGCAGUUCAUAUUUUUAGGGACUUCAACCCUCUAUAAGUUGGCCAGAGACUGAGAAGUAAACCCAGCAGACUUUUAUAUAUCAGGAAUAACUGCUACAAAGCAAAUGCACCAAAACCCGGCAAAAAAUGCCACUGCGCCAAAGUGUCCCAAACUGAUCUUUUGGAUAUGAGUCUCAAGAGAUUUUCUGAAUGCAAAGGAUUUCACGGUCAAAGAUGGAUGGGAACACAGCACACUAUUUGCAUAUUUAAGCUCACAGAAAUUUUUAAAAAGAUCACUUUCAGAAUUUAAGACUGGGACCUCAUAAAGGAACUGAAAUAAAAAAAAUCAAUUUGGAAUCUGUAUCAUAGAUUAUUCA